rnacentral:lncRNA from 1 species
GGCUGCAGCCGCGCCCCCAGCCGUAUUUCCGCGGGCGCUGAGCACUAGAGAGAGCGUCUUGUGGCUGCGGCCUGCCCCUCAGCCUCCUCCGCGCGGUUACCCCUGUACCCGCCGCCAUCCGUCCUGGCGCUCCGGAUGAGUCAAUGAGGGGCAGGGCCCGAGGAGUGGUCUUCCCAAGAACCCCUGGUGGCCUCCCAAGGCCGGUGCUGUGUACCUCCUCCCCGACAAAAGGGGAAACUGAGGCCCCGAGGGGAGUGGGAAGAGCCGGCUGGACGUCAGGCCCAGCCGCUGGUGCAGUGGUCCGUCCCCUCUGCCGGGGUGGGCCCCUCGGGUUUCGCGUGUCCUCGGGAAAGAGACUGGCGGGCCUCGUGGGCUGUGCGGCUAUCCUGGAGACAGAUGACAGCUCUCCCUUGGAUGGCUUUGCUGGUUCCGCACCAGCCAGCGCCCCCAUUUUUCCUGCAGCACCCUGAUCUGCACUCCCUGAGGGGCUCCCACUGUCCGCGGUGUGAGGAUGUCCCUGGAUAGUCCACUGUGUGCAGAGGCAUGGGAGUUGUCAUGUUGGGAACAUGCUAGACCUCAGUAUCCUUGAGCUUGAAGAAAGACGACAGAACACUGGAGACCAAGUACUUACAGCCUUCUGCUCUGUGGCCCCUCCUCACUCCAGGGAUGCUGCCUUGGGUCUGGAAACUGUUAGAGGAAACCCCAAGAGGUGCAGGCACUGAGCCUCUCAGGACAAUGACCUGGGGUCCCAGCUCCCCUGGAGGGGCCUCCUCAUGAUUGUUUGGGGGUUGAUCACAGACCAAGAGUGACGAGUGAUGUCACCCUGUGACUCAUGGCUGGACCUUCUUGCCCCUAUUGUCUCAGCACAACAUUAUUCGACUUUUCCCUCAGCGUGGGUGGGCAGAGGAAAAGCCCUGUGGCUCUGGGGACUUGGGAUCCAGAGUUGAAGACCCUUCAGCUGGCUCUGCCCUGCCAGUGCCACAGAGUGCCAUGGCCCAGGAAGACAGGUUUUCUUCCAUCUAGGCCAGGCCAUCCAGUGGCCAUCCUCCGUGUCCUCCCGCCUCCUCCUGGUGUGACUUCUGAAAACCAAGAAUUUGUUCCUGUUGACUUUUUCUGUGCUAUGGACCAUUGUCCUCUCACCCACUCAAUAAAUCUUGAAACAUGCCCUGCUGCUUGUUCUUUCA